UGAGUUUAGUACAGCUCUUAAAUAUACUUUUUUAAAUGAAAAUUCACUUAACUUAGAAAUUCAUAAUAUUUAUAAACAUUCUAUAUGAUAAAAGUUUUAAAAUUUUUUAUUAACUAACUAUUUAGUGCCAGCAGUUGCGGUUAUACUAUUAAUGAAAUAUAUUUUAAUGUAUUAGAUUUAUAAAAAUAUACUUAUAUAAAAAUAUAUUAAGUAAAAUUAUAUAUUUUUUAUAAUAAAUAUAAAAACCUAAUUUAAAUUUUUAACUUAAAUAAGGAUUAGAUACCCUUUUAUAUCUAAAUAAAAAAGUAGUAGAACUUUUUAUCAAAACUUAUGUAGUUUGGCGGCAUUUUUUCAUAUUAGAGGAACCUGCUAAAUAAUCGAUAAUCCACGUUAAUUUUUACUUUUAUUUAAAUUUUAUAUACCUCCAUCUUAAGAAUUUAUUUUCAUAUUUUUUUCUAAAAAGAUCAUCUAAUAAGUUAGGUAAAGGUGUAGACCACAUAAAAGUUAUAGUGGGUUACUUUAAAAAAAAAUUAAGGAGAGAGAAAAAAAUUUUUUUUACAAAAAGGAUUUAUUAGUAAUAUUUAAACAAUAUUUAAAUUUGAACAUGAUAAUAAAUGUGUACAUAUCGCCCGUCACCCUUUCCCUAAGGCAAGGUAAGUCGUAACAAAGUUGAUGUUCUAGAAAGAGCAUCAGGA
rnacentral:ncRNA from 1 species